rnacentral:rRNA from 1 species
UACGUAGGGUGCAAGCGUUGUCCGGAAUUAUUGGGCGUAAAGAGCUCGUAGGCGGUUUGUCGCGUCUGCCGUGAAAGUCCGGGGCUCAACUCCGGAUCUGCGGUGGGUACGGGCAGACUAGAGUGUGGUAGGGGAGACUGGAAUUCCUGGUGUAGCGGUGAAAUGCGCAGAUAUCAGGAGGAACACCGAUGGCGAAGGCAGGUCUCUGGGCCAUAACUGACGCUGAGAAGCGAAAGCAUGGGGAGCGAACAGG